rfam:Macaca mulatta chromosome 19, whole genome shotgun sequence.
GUCUACAGCCAUACCACCCUGCUCUCAUAAGUUAAGCGUGGUCGGGCCUGGCCAGUACUUGAAUGUGAGAACAACUGAGAAUACUGGGUGCUGUAGGCU